rnacentral:lncRNA from 1 species
CUCUCUGUCUUCCUUUUUCUUUCUCUCUCUUCCUUCUCUUCUCAUAAGUCUUGCUCACAAAUGAAGUAUCCAACCAAUCUGCAGGAUCCUAAUGCAUUAACCUGCAGGAUCCCAACACAUCAACCCUCCUUCCCAACGACUGCUUCCUCCCUAUGCUGCAAUUCUUCACAUGCUCGGAUCGAAUCUCUUUAUUCUUGGACAAUAAAAAGAAUUGCCAACAACCACAGCCUGAUUCAAUGUCCGAAUCCUCCCUCAUCCAGAAGUCUUUAUCGACAUGUUUGUGAGAUCCCUUGCUUCUAAAUGAAUCUCUGAGUAGAUCGUUAUUGCAGAAAGUUAAUCCUGUAUUUUUUUAUUAAUUAGAUCUAAAUUUUUUAAUGAUGAUCUGAUAUCCUAAUCAUGGACG